CCUACGGGAGGCAGCAGUGGGGAAUAUUGCGCAAUGGGCGAAAGCCUGACGCAGCGACGCCGCGUGAGGGAUGAAGGUCUUCGGAUCGUAAACCUCUGUCAGCAGGGAAGAACGUUCACUGUGCUAAUCAGCAGUGAGUUGACGGUACCUGCAAAGUAAGCACCGGCUAACUCCGUGCCAGCAGCCGCGGUAAUACGGAGGGGGCGAGCGUUAAUCGGAAUUACUGGGCGUAAAGCGCUCGUAGGCGGUAUGUCAAGGCAAGGGUGAAAUCCCCGCGCUCAACGUGGGAACGGCAUUUGAAACUGGCAGACGGGAGUGUGGGAGGGGAAAGUGGAAUUCCAGGUGUAGGAGGGA
rnacentral:rRNA from 1 species